CCCCCUCCAGCUGGCUAUAGACACACUUUCUGUGCCCUAGUGUGUCUAUAGCCAGCUGGAGGAGGUGUCCUCCUGAGGCUACAAACUACAGUAGCAUCCACCCUUAGGGGUUAGCCAUAU